AAUACUAAUCUGCAAGAGCAGACCAUGCCCCUUGUUGAGCCUGGGAACACAGAGGAAGCAUGAGAAAUUAAGCACCAAGGUCAGCGGUGGGUGGUAAAGGGAAUCUUGGAGAAGUCACAUGCUGGCUGACCGGUGAUGCUGGCUGCAUUAGUGCCGGUAGCACAAACAACCUUAGUCAAUAGGAAUAAAUACACAGAGCAAUGCUGCUCAUACAGGAUUUGAGACUCAUUCUCUUUUGCUCUGAUUUGUGUGCUUUUGCCCCAUCAGACACACACCUGAACAUACUCUUAAGCCCAUCUCCAGUUUUUAAAAUUUCCUUUGUUGGCAGAAUGAAAUAUUUUCCCUAUAAUAUCUACUUGUUUAGAUCCAGAAAGAACUGGUCAAUCUGUCUCUCCGUAUCUUAACCCUAGCGAAUUUUAUAGACAUACCUUGGAAUCAAGUCUUUGGAGAAAGAAGACUACUUACAUUUGUUUGUCUCUCUAUUCAGUUUGGAGAUAAGAAAAUCGAGGCCCAGAGAUGCAUGUAAAAAAUCAGCUCAACAUGGAUUGAAGACUCAACAUAGACUUGAAAAGACCUGAAACCAUACAACUACGAGAAGCACAUACAAAGAUAAAGCUUUGGACAUUGACGUGAGUAAUGAUUUCUUGGCUAUGACACCAAAGGCACAGGCAAUAAACAAAUGGGAAAAUAGACAAGCGGGGCUGCAUUGAACGCUAAAGCAUCUUCAUAGCAAAGGAAACAAUCAACUGAGGGAAACGGCAACCCAGAAAAUGAGAGAAAAUGUUUGCAAAGCCUACGUGGUAGAAGGGGUAAAUAUCUGAAUACAUAAGGAAGUCAAACAACUCAAUAGCAAAAAACAAACAACCUGAUUGAAAAACAGACCUAGGACCUGCAGAGGCUUCUCUCACAAUAAAAUAAUGUUUUAAGAAGCUGUGAUCGUCUUUAUUGGACAUGUCAAGUAGGACACGUGUGUUUGGAAGGAAACUUUUUGAGUUUCUCUAUUGACUUAGCUAGUAGCCAUUACCCC
rnacentral:lncRNA from 10 species